CCUACCCUGUCCUCGCCCCUGGGAGCCGGACCCGGCUCCGCUCCGAGGCAGCUGAAGGGAUGGCAGUUCUGGGAAGGGGGUGCGCCGUGUCCGCCCCUCCCGCCGCCUCUGCCCCUAGGCCCACUCAGGGUCAGAGCACUCAGCCGUAAAAAGGGUGAACGAUCGGGGCCUCAGCAGCCGGGGCAAAUUUGCAGAGAAAUACGCUGCAGGAAAAUCGCCAAUCCCUGAGGGUCCCCCCUGAACGAUCACGUUUAUGUAUCAUUCUCGAGAUGAGAUUCUAGAAACGGAGAGCAGCACUUUCUGGCCUGCACCACCUCAUUUGUAGACCCCCUGCCAUUGGGACUCACUAGAGGACCCUCCCAAACUCUGCCUUGAUUUCUGGUGUCCCGGGAUGGCCCUUGGGGCUCUCCUGGUGGCUCAGACGGUAAAGAGCCUGCUUGCAAUGCAGGAGACCCAGGUCUGAUCCCUGCGUCGGGAAGAUGCUCUGGAGAUGUU
ensembl:lncRNA